UACGGAGGGGGCUAGCGUUGUUCGGAAUUACUGGGCGUAAAGCGCGCGUAGGCGGCUUUGUAAGUUAGAGGUGAAAGCCCGGAGCUCAACUCCGGAAUUGCCUUUAAGACUGCAUCGCUAGAAUCAUGGAGAGGUUAGUGGAAUUCCGAGUGUAGAGGUGAAAUUCGUAGAUAUUCGGAAGAACACCAGUGGCGAAGGACGGCUCACUGG
rnacentral:rRNA from 1 species